CCCAACUUUGGUGUCUGACACCAUCGGGGUGACACAGAGCUGUCCCAACUUUCGGGUGUGACACUGUGGGGGCGUCCCCAACUUUGGGGUGUGACACUGUGGGGGCAUCCCCACCUUUGGGGUGUGACACGGUGACGCGGUGCCCCCACUUCCCCUGGGAAGUCCUCAAGCUGCUCACGGUGUCCCCAACUUCGACGCAAUGCCCCCAGGGGGGUCCUUUUGUCCCCUCUGCGUGACGGUGACACCCAAUGACAACGCCGCCGCGUCACGGCUGUUCCACACUGAUGUCACCCGUGGUCCCCUCUGCUGGUGGCACAGAG
ensembl:lncRNA